GGUAUCAAAGAGGGUGACAAUCCCGUACUUGACGCGACGACCGGUGCACUGUGAUACGUUCUCUACGAGUCGAGUUGUUUGGGAAUGCAGCUCAAAAUGGGUGGUAAAUUCCAUCUAAAGCUAAAUAUUGGCGAGAGACCGAUAGCGAACAAGUACCGUGAGGGAAAGAUGAAAAGCAUGAAAGGGAAACGAUUGAAGUCAGUCGUGUCGGGAGGAUUCAGCCGGCUCUGCCGGUGUACUUCCUCCCGACGGGUCAACAUCAGUUUUGAUCGGCGGAUAAGGGCGGCGGGAAGGUAGCACUCUCGGGUGUGUUAUAGCCCGCUGUCGCAUACGUCGGUCGAGACUGAGGAAUGCAGCUCGCCUUCAUGGCCGGGGUUCGCCCACGUCCGAGCUUAGGAUGUUGACAUAAUGGCUUUAAACGACCCGUCUUGAAACACGGACCAAGGAGUCUAACAUAUCUGCGAGUGUUUGGGUGUCAAACCCGGACGCGUAAUGAAAGUGAACGUAGGAGGGAUCCGCAAGGAGCACCUUCGACCGAUCUGGAUCUUCUGUGAUGGAUUUGAGUAAGAGCAUAUAUGCUGGGACCCGAAAGAUGGUGAACUAUGCCUGAAUAGGGCGAAGCCAGGGGAAACUCUGGUGGAGGCUCGUAGCGAUUCUGACGUGCAAAUCGAUCGUCAAAUUUGGGUAUAGGGGCGAAAGA
rnacentral:rRNA from 1 species